UCACUAUAUACAUAUACCCACACCUACACACUCCCUCACUUUAUAACAUCAGAUUUUUAUAACCCAAACCCUAAAUAAUCUCUCACUCUCCAUUGAGAGAACUCAUAGCCACACACCCCAUUUUUUGGGCUUUCUCAAUCUCUCAUUUUUGAGAGACCAUGUCUGCUCCUUCUUCAUCUCCAAAUUCUCUCUUCAUUAUGGAGAGACAUGGCUGUCGCUCAGGUCGCUGCCGCCGGAGUUGACCACCGGCCAGGCGGCGAUUCCUAUCUUUUCCUCUCUUUUCUCUUCGGUAGACUCCACUGGUUGGAGAAAUUGACACUUCUCGCCAGAGUUUGGCCGGAAACUUUCAGAUCUGUUGUGAAGUAUUGAAUGUCGGUGGCCUCUUUUACUCAUCCCUUUAUGAUUUUUUAUUGUUAUUCUUUACGGACCUGGAGUUUAUGGCUUUUCCGGCGGGCUCCUCUGUUUCUGUUAUCCUUUCGAUUAAGCCGGAGUUCAUCGCCGGCUAGCCUUUUGUGUGUUGUUUUAUGGAGUUUUAUGACUGUUGGCCCAUCUUCAAGAGACCUGUGUAUUUCUGGCAACCCACUGUUCGAUUGGUUAUUAAUUUUUAUGAUAGUUAGGUGUCAUUAUCACUGUUUAUAAUUGAGACUAACAUGGGUUUUGAUUUUUCCGACGAGUUUCGCCUUCUCCGGCGGAUGAUGAUGCGGAUUCUAAGUGUUCCAUUUUUGUGUUUGUUUUCACCAUUUUGCUAUGGCUGACAGCUUUGUUUUGAUGUUGUUUGGACCUUUUUGUGCACUUUGGGUAGGCCAGCCACUGAUCGAUUCUUUUGGCUUUUCGGAAACGGUUUAACUGAUUUUCUUGACAUGCUGGUGACGGUAUAUAUCUUGUUAUUUGAUUCGAACAUAUAUUAUACAAGAUUGCGGACGAUGAGAAAAUAAUCUCCGAGUUAUUGAGGCCAUGACGCCCCAUGACACCCCGAAUGACACUCGGACUGGGCCCUAAAUAAUGAGGUGAUGAUGAUAAACAUAGAAAAAUAAAAGACGAGGAUGCGAUGACCCAAUAAAACCUUCGGAAGGCGACACAGUUGGCCACCAGAGUUGUUACCGAGGCGGUUCCUGUUCUCUUGUCUAGACGGAUAUCGUAUAUUACAUAUAUCUGAGCAUCCUAUAUUAUUUUUAAAACUAUCUUUCGAAAACAAUUUCCCAAAAAAAUAUUAUUUUUUUUUGCAAACAAUCUUUCAAAAACAAAACAUUUUAAAAUCAUUUUCAAGAGAAAUUUCCCAAAAAUAUUUUAAAACAAAAACUAUUUCAAAACAUGUCACUUCCUUAUUUUAUCUUUUAUGUUAUAUUAUUUAGCUAACAAUUUCAUUUUUCUCUCAUUUUGCGAGGUACUAUCACACGGGGUUGCUUUCAGAGGAUGACAUUCAAAGACGAAAAGAUAAAUUCCCGUUAAGCUUCCCACUUCGUAACUUCCUAUCUUGGAUGUACAAAACGCAAGUAUAGUGAAACCAUAGAUAGAUAACGUAUUUGCUAGCUUACUUAUUAUUUGCAUAUUUGCCAACACUUAGGAUGAGUUGCAUCAAGUUAUUAAUCCGUUUAACUUACGAAGUUGUGCAUUAUAUAACUCGUUAAGCUUAUAUAUACAUGUUUAGGAUGUCGAGUAUAUUUCGUAACUUGUUUGGAUAAUUGGGAUAGAUAUGCAUGUAAUUAAUUAAAUUAGAUACUACAUAACAAAACAAAAAGUAUUCCAUCUUUUCUCAAAACAAAUAAACUUACCUUUUUUAUAAUCAUACUAGGAUGCUUUUCGAACCAAUCUACUUGUAUAUCGUUCCUUAAUUAUACACCCCAAUUAGACAUAACUUGUAGAAAUCAUAAUUGAGUCUACCAUAUUUAGGAUUAAUUCAAUUGUUACAUCCAUUUAGGCCUAACCCGAUAAUUGCCAAUAUUCUCCAUGAGUUAUUGUCUUAAAGGCUAUUCUUGUACAAGGUUUAUAAUAUUCUUAGCCUCUUUGUGUAUUUGUCUGAUUUCUUAUAUAUGCAUUUUAUUAGUAUUUAUUUGUUUAUUCAAUCCUUUUAAAUCAAACUCUAAAGUCUUUCUUAUAUGGUCCUGAUUUUCUUUUGUCAUAAAAAUUUAUAUUCCUUUAUAUCUGUACAUCUUAACAAACCUUUUUUACGUUUUAUUCUUUAUAUAUCUAGUCAAUUAUGUUAGUCAAUCACAAAAUACUUACUCAUUUUUUAAGAUAAUUUUCACCACUAUUUAUUCAUUUUUUCACAUAUUUUUCUUAUAUACUUAAUAUAACUCAUUGUAGUAAUUAUUUGACUUUAAUCAUAAAUUAACUUCUUCAGAUUUAUUCAAACUCUUUUUUAGAUCAUUUCAAUUGUUGAUGUACAUUCCAUGUUUGAUUUAAUUACUCAAUUAUCACAUGUAAGAUUUAUGUGGAUAAUUUCUUUCUUAUGCUUUCCUAUCAUCACAACCCUCCUACUAUAUUUGGUCAUUUCUUUAAGCUAAUUGCUAGUUGGUUUUUAUCCAAAAAUAAUUCUUCACCUUAUACCAUGUGUAUUCAAUUAAGACUAACCUUUUAUAGUUAAAUUAUUUGGCUUUAAUUGUAAGUCGAAGUUUCCUUUAUACUCUAUUUUGAAUCCAAUUCUUUCAAUCAAAUCCCAAAAAGAUUUUUGUUUAUUAAUCUGCUUGCAUAUUUUGUUGUAUAAAUUUUAUCACAAAUAAAAUAGUCACGCUUUGAAUAUUUAUUCACUACGUGACAACUGUGUUGACUGCUCUUUGAUAGAAAUCCUUUGUGGCGUAGUUAAUCAUUCUUUUGAACCUUUCCUUCCUUAUUUGAUCGAGUCCACAUGAACUACCUUUUGUGGAUCUUGAGGGAUGCCUAAAACCUUCCCCUCGAGAUAACUUGAACCCUUAACUAGAAUCUCAAUGGUUUCGUAGAUCAUAGUCGAAGUGUACAUUAUAUAGUGUAAUAUAGGUGUCCUAGUGUACCUUAAACAUUAGGUGUCGACUCUAAACUUUAAUAACCUUGUAGAGUACUAUAAGUUGUAGUUUAUUUUGUCUCAUGCAAAAUAGAGUGCAACAACAUGGCGACUCUGUUGGGGAUACUUCAAGUUCUAACCACAGCAUAUUCGAUCCAAUAGUUGAGGGAUUACAGGUUCUCCAAUAUUCCAACUUUUAUUCUCUCUAUCACAUGCUUUAGGUUGUAUAUUCUCUGCUUCAAUCAUAUACUCUUUGUUUCAAGCUGUAUAUUUCUUGGUUUAAGUUGUAUAUUAUUUGCUUCAAGUGGUAUAUUUUUGUCGCAUGCUACAAUUAGUCCAUUGUUUGUGAUGCGAUUCAGGCGGUGUAUUCUUUGUCAAUCGAUAUAUUCUUUGUCGUUUGCCUCAAGUUGUGUAUUUUUUGUUGUAUGCUUCAAGCAGCAUAUUCUCUAUUGCGUGCUUCAAAUCGUGUAUCCUCUGUUGCAUUCUUCAAGCCGCAUAUUCUCUGUUGCAUGCUUCAAGUCGAGUAUCCUCUAUUGCAUACUUCAAGCUGCAUAUUCUUUGUCAUAUGCUUUAAGUGGUAUACUUUUGUCAUCCGCUUCAAGCGGCGUAUUCUCUGUCAUGCUCAUGUUGUAUAUGCUUCCCACAUGUCUAUGUUGUAUAUUCUGUUACAUAUGACUGUGAUGUAUACUCUUUCACACAUGCUCUUGGUGCUGCCUUAUCCAAUUAUCAUUACUUUUCUAUUGACACUAUGUCGUGCACAAUCACACACAAGCCACGCGAGGAUUGUCUUUUCACCCCUCCAAACCUUCUUUCAAAACUCCUUAGUUUCAAAGAUCGGUAGACGAGGUUAACUACGUACCAUCUCACAGUUGUCCUUAACUCAUAUCCGAAUCUAGGCAAAUCAACUCUUAGAAUUCCUAGGUCACUGUACACACAAUCUUGCAUCUUGGUUCAAUUGAAUUAAUCCCCGCAUAUCCUUUACUUGCUAUAUAUUCUUUGUAUAUUUGGUAUAUAUUCUUUGCCUGCCAUUGCUUUGUGCCCUCUAUCUGCUACAUAUGCUUUCUACUUGUUGUCCACCACUAGGUUCUCUUUAUCUAACUAUUUUAGUUGACUUGUGUCGAACCUUGAAUCUCUCAAAUGCACAUACCCACUCCGGUCUUUAUGACCAUCCACCAUAAUCACAUCAUCAUUAGGACUCUACCAUCCUUUUCAAAGAUACUUCAAUCUAGCUUGGUAUAUCUUCCACUGAUUUGAUGUAUUCUUCUCAACAUACCUCACACUUUCACUGACUUCCGUCAUUUGAAAUAAAUCCAUGCGCUAUGCUACCAUCUAUCUCUUAUUCAAAGGUUACCAGUCUCCACCCACCCGGGAAUUCACACUAGUAAUUGCACUUCUUCUCUAGGAACAAUUAAUCAUUCAUGAGAACCAUACAGAUCCCUCGUGGUUCUAGUAGUUGUCUGAACUACGUUUUGACCUAAUUUUUUCUCUAGCAAGAUACGUAGGCAACCCUACAUAAGGGUUCGGUCUCCCCACUAUUUCAAAUUAAUUUCCUCGGCAUUGAAAAGUUGGGGCAGUUCUUUUGAAAUAGUGCAAUGAUGCUCUCAACCCAGAAAUCUUUGAGAGCGUCAACCAAACAUCACCCAAAAAAUCCAAACAAAAUACCAUGUCAACCUUACUCUGACCCUCACCCGACUUAAAUCCCAACAUAUGGGAUGCAAGUCCUUUCUUCAAACAUCUGGCUAUAGAUUCAUGGUGUUCACUACCACUUCCCAAGUUCAAAGAUUCAAUACAAGUCAACCCAUUUUGUUACAGGGGCAAGUCGUUAGUCAAUUUUCAAGGAGUGUCAUUCUCGCACGACUCAGACAAAAAAGGAAGAACGGGCAAAGACUCAAGUCAACAUGAAUCAACAUCCCUCCAUCGAACUAAGAAUUUUUCUUUGCACGCAGGAGGGACAACACAAUGUCCGGAACCAUCAGGGAUUGUCGACAUCACGUUUUCGAUCACAACCGGAUACACCACUAUUGCGCGGCCUAACUACGUACCCUCUUAAUUUUAUAACUUCACCUAAAAGGGAAUCUAACAUUUUCUCCUCUGAGUUUUGCAGGUACAUCAUCUCGGGCACUUCCCAAGAGAUAACAUCUGGUCUCGGACUUGGUAGAACAUUAGUCAGAUAAUCAGGGGAGUAAUAGUUCACAAUUAACUUCACCAUUUUUUAUGACUUCGUUGCUCUCACCACUUUGCUAUAUUCAGAUCAGAACAUCGUUCCCUGUUAUCAACUGGGGACGAUCAUCAAAUGGUUCAUGUGGAUGGGCGAAAGGUGCAUCAUCCUGGGACUGCACGUGAAAUAGCAUCCGACAUCGGACAUUGUGGAACAUCAACCGAACAAUCAGCGGAGUGUUAGUUACAAUUCUUAAUUCCAUCAUUUAUGACGGCAUUACUCUCACAAUAUUUCUAUAUCUUGAUCAUAUUAUCACCCCGACUAAUAGCCGGGGACGAUCACCCAAAGGUUCAUGUGGAUAGCUGGAAGGUCGCAACAAAACAUCCAUAUAGUCAAUUGAGAGACGACCACAACAACUGUCUCGCAAACAGUCAAGGGCAUCGAGGCAACUGUUCGAAGGAGCAGCUAGGGCACAUCUUCUGGAGGGAUAUGCUCUUCAACUCCAGAGAUACCACACCCAAUCAUGGGUACAACUAGGCAUUACUCUAAAUCCAGGUGUUCCCGGACAUAGUGGGUGUUGAUUUUUGCGCCCAGUGGAUCUUUUGGAGAUUUCGAGGUAGCUGCCAGCGUUUCGCAGACCUUGUUUCUCCUUCCCUAUCAUUUCACUUAUUGUAUUUGGUUUCAGAUUUUCAUAGAUAGUAUUUUUCGGACUUCUGAUGUAUAGAUGCUCAUGUACUUAGUGACACCCCGAUGUUGGGAAUUUCCGCGUUGUAUUUUGGAUUUCUAUCCUAUUUAUGAGGAGUUGUUAUCAUUUAAACUAUUUUAAAUC